GCUGAACACCUGCCAUGCUCCAGGCACCACACAAAGCACAUUCCACAGGCUCCCUCCAUGGUGCCUCUCAGAACAAUGCCCUAAGGCAUAUAUAUGAGACACUUAUUUUCCUGAUGACAAAAUGGAGGCUCAGAGGGAUUAUUGAGAAAUUGGCGGGCAUCCCUGAGUUCACAGGCAGUGGGAGAAGGAUUUGCUUGUGGGUCUAUCUGUUCCCAGAGUCCAUGUGCCUGCCUCAGAUCCUCUGAUCUUUGUCUAUGAGUAGCGACUGUUCACUGGAUACAGAGGAAGGGGGGAGGUGGGCAGUGAUUGUGUUCAUGAUGGCAGUAAGUGAGUGAGAAGGUUGGAGAAGGAGGGGCUAAUGGUGAUGAGACAGGAUGUGGAGUGUGGUGCCAGCAAAGACUGCAGACAUGGCAUUGAACUGAGUCAGGAUCACCGGACACAGGAAGAGAAUUCCUGGAAGAAGAAACACUUUCAAAACAGACAAGCACUAAAGAACAUUAAAAAAGAGUCAUAUAUGGGGCUGGAGAGAUGGCUCAGCGGUUAAGAGCACUAGCUGCCCUUCCAGAGGACCUGGGUUCAAUUCCCUGCACCCACAUGGCAGUUCACAACAGUUUGAAAUUCCAGUUCCUGAGGAUGUGACACCUUCACACCAAUGUACAUAAAAUAAAGUUAAAAUAAAUUACUGAAAGAAAGAAAGAGAGAAAGAAAGAAAGAAAGAAGAAAAAAGAAAGAAAGAAAGAAAGAAAGAAAGAAAGAGUCAUAUGUUUACAAGCACCUGGUGAGGGCUUGGGGUAUGAGGUCAGUGGAAGUGAGAAGCAUGAGUCAGAGGCAGAGGUUAAGCCUGGGAUAUGGAUGUAAACUCUUCGGUUCCAGUAUGAAGAGUUGAGGUUUCUCCUGUAGGUGAUAAGAAGAUAUACAUGUUUAAUGAGUAUGAGCUGGUAGUACCGGAGGAAAAACUUGCCAACUCACUUACCUAUGGGAGCCAAGUGGGCAAAAAUACAGACUAUAGACCUUGAAACAUUGUAUAAGCCAGACAGUGUAUCUGUCUACAUGGAUGUCUGAUACUUGGCUCUAGGCUACUGGAGAUGAUGAGGAAGUUGCUAAUAGAAAAUAGAAAUAUUAUCAAGUUGGUAGGUGGAUGUCUUGGCUUCCUUUCCCUUUGCUAGGACAGGAUAUCUGACAGAAACAGCUUAAAGGAAGGGGGGUCUUCUGGCUCACAGUUCAGAGGCAACAGUCCAUCUCAGCAGACAAGGUGUAGAGGCAGAAGCAGUUCCAUCUGUGGCCGCUGGAGCUGUUCCAGCAGCUGUUCGCAAUGCAAUGGCAGACAGGAAGCAGAGAGCUCACCCUGGACACCAGGGCAGAUUAUGAACAUCAAGACCCGCCCAGGGGCCUACAUGUGCCAGCUAGGCCCCAUGCCUAGAGAUUCUGUCUACGACUAUCCUCAGAUAGUUCCAGAACCAUCUAGUAAUGGUUAAAUGUGGGGCACAUUUCACAUUUAAAACCUAACAGUAGAUCACAGACUAAUUCCCCCCACCCUACCUCUUUCUUCAUAUGUGUCCUUUACAGCAUGACACUGUAGCUGUCUUAUAGAAUGGAGCCUUCUGCUGGGCCCAUUGAGUUUGCUGUGUUAGAGGCAAGGUGGGCUUCUAUUCUGAGCCUGGCCUUAAAUGCCUCCACAAGUCUCACCCAUCACCAAGAAAGCCUGGAUUGGCCUGCCAGAGGAAAGAGCCCAUGAACUGUAGACCUGCACGUCUACUUCUGCAUGGUCAGCCUGACCCAACCCUCCCUACUGACCCAUUUGUUCUGCCAACAAAAGGAAACCCAGCCUCAUGAAGAUAACAGCCCCACCCCAUCAGCCCGUGGACGAGGGAAAAACAAAUGUUUGUCCUUUUAAGAUCAAUCUGAGAGCAGUUUGUUACUCGGCAAUAGCUAGCAGAUACAGUGACUCAAUCCUUUGAAAAACAGCACCAUGCUUGUUCUCUUUCACUUCCAUGAAUACUCCUGGUUCAACAUCAAAAAUGACUCCAUCGAAGUUGACACAGUGGAGCAGGGGAGGGGCCAAGAACAUUCUGUGUUCUGACACCUGGCUGCCUUUUCCUAUCAGUGGCUGGUUGUUCGCAGCUGGGGAGUCCAUUGCAGCUUCAGCGCCCCUGAGUCAUAUUUACCUCCAGGCUAACUGCUGCCUGCUCAAGCAGCUGUUGUCCACAGUGGCUGUGCUCCCAUCUGGCCCCAAUCUGGUCAUCUCCCCGUCAGUCCUGACCUCUGACCUCUGGGGCUGUGAUGCCCAAGAGUUCGGAGUGCUACAUGGGCUCUGAGGACAGGACCUUGUUGAAAUCCCUAGGUAGUGGACUGUCCAGUCUUCGUCCCCUUAAGGGAUGUCUCCUCAGCAAAGUGCCCUCUGCUGACACCACAGUGGUGUCUAGCAACAUGGGCACCCCCACUCACAUCCUGGCAGCAUCUCCUGUGGGCCAGAUUUUUCUACAACAACAGAAAUCUUACAUGCUUGGGGAAGUGAAGAAACUUAAGAGAAAGAAGAAAGAAGCUCCUUUUGCUUAGUGGAGUAUUAUUUCCAGCCACCAAAGGAACCAGCCUGUAAGUCUCCUCAACCCCCACUGGAUUCCUGGCUGAAUCUCCUGGUUCAACAAGCGUCACUGACGACAACGUGGCAUUUUGCCUUCAGCAUGCUCAUCCUUCUCCCUCUAGCCACAGAUCUGGAUCCAUAAACUACAACUUUGGGCACCGUCCAUAGGGUGUGGAUGGAUAACUGGGUGAACCAGGGGGCCAUAGCUCUGGUGUACCAGAGGAAACGGAUACAUGAUCUUCAUAGGAGGCAAUAAAAGCCAUGGGAAAUGCCCAGGGAGCAGAGGGAGAAAGGAAUGAGUAUGGCUCUCUCUAACCUGUCCCCGCAGAUCCAGGCCAGGCUUGAGAGUCAGUCCUGGCCCCCAGCACCUGUCUGUACUAGGCAAUCUUCCUCACCUAAAUUCUCCUGCAGUCUCCUAGGAUUAAACACCUUAUAAAGAAAUCUGACCAUGCUUGCUCAACUACCUUCUGUGGUUCCUCAUUGCCCACAGACCAAACAGGUGUGAAAUAGACAGCACGUGACAACAGGGGUUGGGGAAGCCUGUGACAAACUGCUGCUUGUCCCUGCUGCUCUGUGCUACUGUGUUUCAGAUGUGCCAAUGGUUUUUAAAGCAAAAGCCGGAGAGAUGUGUUUCUGGGUGGCACAGCACUUUGUGGAUUUAGCAGUAGUCCUUGGCCGCCUUCAUGUGUCUCUCCAGAGCUGACAUGUGACUGGGGAGGAAAGGUGCUCAGUGGGAUGGACAGGGUCUCCAAAUGGACCCUACAGCUGGGGCUGUCCUGUCAUCACGUCCCACCCCAUACCCAGCCAGGGAUCCUUUGUUCAAGGUAACCAUGUUGUAUAUCUUGUGCAUGCCUGUGUGAGCUUACAAGGCUUUUCUGACCCUGCCACCCAGCUGAGAGCAUUCUUCCCCUACCCUAUGCCUUCAGAGCUCCACUCCAGUGGUGCCUCCUCUGAGAAGUCCCCCCAGAUAACUCCUGUAACAACGGAAGGGACAGCACACUACCUGAGCUUCCUGAAGCCCCACAGUAGCUUCUGAUACAUGCUGGGACUCUCUGGACCUCUCUGACCUGUCAGUAUGUGGCCAGGUACUUUCUUACUUGUAGUGUGAGCACACAUUGAUGAUGCUGCAGGUACCAAAGGCAGAGCUGCCCUCUCUGAGGCGAACAAAUGUAAGAUCUGUCCCUUCUGCUUCCUGUGGGGGCUAGGGGUAGGAGAGCAGAGUCAGGCAUGGCCACCUGGGAACCUGAAUCAAGGCAUCCAGUAGCUAAGAAAGGAGGUCUGACUUGGCCUUGAACUACUUGGUGCCCAUGUUUGACUGUCUUGAGGAAUCUGAGCAUUGCCUGCAAGGGAGCCAUAGAAGCCCAGACCUUUCCAGAUCUCCCUCUCAUUCCACCCCAGUCCCUCUCUAAAGGAGGCUCCAACAGUGCAGGGAGAAGGUCCUGGCCUCUGGCAAGUGGGAUAGUGUGGUAACAAAGAGGGGAAGAAAGAAGACCCUGAGACUGGGUGAGUGUGGGAAAGGUGGGACUCAUGGGGAGGUUUGGUCUACGCACAAGAAAGAGUAGUGGAUUAACAGAAAAGAAAAAGAAAGAAAGAAAACAGAGCUGGAUCUUGUCACUAGAAGGACUGAGGUCACCAGCUGGCUGUUGAGACAGUGUCUGACUCUUGAUAUUUUCCAAUGGCAGAGGCACUCUAUGGGGGUCUGCUAAACUUGAAUUCCUGCACCCCAGUCUUGGCAGCAGGCCCCCUAGUGCACAACUUCAGCGAUAGACAAUUUCUCCUCCUAAGGAAAACAGGAGGCUCAUCUGUGUCUGAACCAUGCAGUCCUCAGGCCUGGGAUCCAAGCCUGGGAAAUAAGCAGAGAUAGCCUCCAUUGGUACUCCCUCACUGUGGCAGUGCUCCCUCAUUGUGGCAGUGCUCCCUCACUGUGGCAGUUCUCCCUCACUGUGGCAGUGCUCCCUCACUCACUGUGGCAGUGCUCCCUCACUGUGUCAGCGCUCACUCACUGUGUUAGCGCUCCCUCACUGUGUCAGCGCUCACACACUGUGUCAGCGCUCACACACUGUGUUAGCACUCACACACUGUGUCAAUGCUCCCUCACUGUGUCAGUGUUCCCUCACUCACUGUGGCAGUGCUCCCUCACUGUGUCAGUGCUCACCCACUGUGUCAGUGCUCCCUCACUGUGUCAGUGCUCCCUCACUCACUGUGGCAGUGUUCCCUCACUCACUGUGGCAGUGUUCCCUCACUCACUGUGUCAGCGCUCACUCACUGUGUCAGUGCUCCCUCACUGUGUCAGCGCUCACACACUGUGUCAGUGCUCACUCACUGUAUCAGUGCUCACUCACUGUGUCAGUGCUCACUCAUUGUGUCAGCGCUCACUCACUGUGGCAGUACUCCCUCACUGUGGCAGUGCUCACUCACUGUUACCAGUGUUCACACACUGUCGGGGCCCAAAAAAUAUCGAUUAUAAUAUUUUGGGGUACAAACCUCAUCUCAAUUCCAGGAGCCCAAAUCUCACACUGUCUUCUAGAUGGCAGCUGUUUACCACCAGAUGGCUUGUCCUCAGUGGAGAAUGUCUCCUAGUUUGCUUAAAAACAGACCUAGGCCCUGGGUGGGCCCACAACUCUUCUGAGGGCUUGUAUAUGUGCCUAGGGUCUCAUGAGAGGCUGGUGAAGACAAACAAUUUUAGGGGUGCCUCUAGAAUUAAAGGAAAUAUUUGAUGUUAGCUUUAUACAUGAUGAUAGAUGUCUUCUGAUAUCACCCCCGGAGUUGGAAAGCUAUUUAAGAGGAUGCUUGAAUAAACCAUGAACUCCAGUCUCCA